rnacentral:rRNA from 1 species
UGGUAAUGAUGGCAGAGAGGUCACACCCGUUCCCAUACCGAACACGGAAGUUAAGCUCUCUAGCGCCGAUGGUAGUUGGGACCUUGUCCCUGUGAGAGUAGGAAGUUGCCAGGCA